UCUGGUUGAUCCUGCCAGAGGUUACUGCUAUCGAGGUUCGACUAAGCCAUGCGAGUCGAAUGUAGCAAUACAUGGCGUACUGCUCAGUAACACGUGGACAACCUACCCUCAGCACGGGGAUAAACCCGGGAAACUGGGUAUAAUACCCGAUAGAUCUCGACUGCUGGAAUGCAUCGAGAUCGAAAGCUCCGGCGACUGAGGAUGGGUCUGCGGCCUAUCAGGUAGUAGUGGGUGUAGCGUACCUACUAGCCUACGACGGGUACGGGUUGUGAGAGCAAGAGCCCGGAGAUGGAUUCUGAGACACGAAUCCAGGCCCUACGGGGUGCAGCAGGCGCGAAAACUUUACAAUGCCGGCAACGGCGAUAAGGGAACCUCGAGUGCCAGGUUACAAAUCUGGCUGUCGUGAUGCCUAAAAAGCAUUGCAUAGCAAGGGCCGGGCAAGACCGGUGCCAGCCGCCGCGGUAACACCGGCGGCUCGAGUGGUAACCGUUAUUAUUGGGUCUAAAGGGUCUGUAGCCGGCCGGAUAAGUCUCUUGGGAAAUCCAGCAGCUCAACUGUUGGGCUUUCAGGAGAUACUGUUCGGCUCGAGGCCGGGAGAGGUGAGAGGUACUUCAGGGGUAGGGGUGAAAUCUUGUAAUCCUUGAAGGACCACCAGUGGCGAAGGCGUCUCACCAGAACGGACCUGACGGCAAGGGACGAAAGCUAGGGGCACGAACCGGAUUAGAUACCCGGGUAGUCCUAGCCGUAAACGAUACUCGCUAGGUGUCGGCCACGGUGCGACCGUGGUCGGUGCCGUAGGGAAGCCGUGAAGCGAGCCACCUGGGAAGUACGGCCGCAAGGCUGAAACUUAAAGGAAUUGGCGGGGGAGCA
rnacentral:rRNA from 1 species